UUAGCGCUGUUUGCGAAGAGCACAACACACGUAGGGAAUCGUGCCGGUGCGGUGUUUUCAGCCUGCGCCGAUUUCCAUCCGCAACGAAGAAUGCCAAGCUGCGCCACCGGUGGAUAGCUGCAGUGAAUAGGAAGAACUACCAACCCAGUGAAAAUGCACGAGUUUGCUCCGAGCACUUUCUGGGCAACAAGCCUACAGAGCAGAAUCCCGCGCCGGUGCUUCGCUUUGGCUAUAACAAAAAGUGUGCAGGUGGUGAAGGGCAGGCGUCUGCUAACCAGGCAGUCAAACGACCUCGCCAGUUGGUUGCCAAGCGCGGCCAACCCAGUAGAGACCAUUACAAACAAGACCAAACUGAAAGUGCAGAUGACAGUGUUCUGCGUGCUUUAAUAAUAUAUGGCACCAACACAGUGCUGUAAAUUCCUUCACAGGUUACGUGCCAAAAAGCUCACAGGUGUUCUAGCAUAUAGCGCGUGGUUUGUACAAACGUAAUAGCGUACCUACCCGAUGUAUUCGCUUCUGCAGUCUGCACAGCACUCAGUGUGUCCAUUGUGGACUUGCACGAGGUCUUGAAGUUUGAUUGAAUCCAGACAGCGAAAAUGACAGGUUAGAAAAAACGUGAAACACGCCUUCCGCCCAGCUAAAAAGCCCAAGUUUCGCUUUCGCGCCGGGUCGCAUCUCCCGGCGUGGCAGCCCAGGCCUGCUACUUCGCGGCGCUUGGGAUAGAUGGCGCGACCGGCGCUCAUCAAUAUGGCGGCGCCCUUUGAAUUCACGGUGUUCUGGUGUAUAGCAGCCGACACACACAACCACGGUAACCGCAGUCCACAUGGUAAAGGCAAAAAAGUGGGAGGGGAACGUAUUAUUUUAUUAAUAAUAAAUAUCCCUUUCUAAGGCAUUUUUGGCAUUAUUUGAGCGGUACUAUAAAUACGCGAACUUAGUUCUUUGCAGGUUUCUAAUAUUGGAAACCAAAUUUUCCUUAACGCUCUCAUUAUGCUGAGUUUCGACCAUUGGUGCCUAUAGUUCUACCUUUCGUUACAAAAUUAAAUAAACUUGAAAUAAUCAUGGUUCACUCGAGCGGCCCGUUUUAACUGAGGCGCGCACUUCAAUGAGGCGCGCACCAACCAGUACACGAUUAGGACAAGCGCCUGUAGCUCAAGACACUCAUAAAGUCACGCCAGACAGAACUGCAUACGGCACCCCAUAAUAGUCCCUUAAAAUGUUAAAGCGGCACUGGCAAACUGCAAACAACCGCCUACUGCGGAAGCUUUCUGUUUGGUGCAAUUAUGAGUUUCACAAGUGUUGCACUGAGCGCGAAUUAGCUAAAGCGCGGCGAUAAAAUGACCAAAAUUUAGUACAUAGUACGUUAGGCCAGCUGCAGUGAUAAAGUCGCCUAGCCUUUAAAAUGAUUUUCCGAUGCGCGUAUUGCGCCCCAAGAAGCCGCGGAGCGAGAAAGCACUUCACAGCGGAACCAAAUAACCGCAGCGGACCUUAGCCAGCGUACGGGAGGCAUCUCGGAGCCGACACCAGCGCCGCCGCAUCGUCCUGAAAAAAUGCUGCCUCUCCAGGGGCCGAAUCUUAUAACGGUUCGGUUGGGGAACCGUUCCUUUGGCCUCACCUGAUUGGCCAAAAUUUUGAUUACGUCACAGGUCGUCAGAGGCAGCGGGGCGGUAUACGCAUCUGUCAAUCAUCUUCAAAGCGAACCGGUCGUAGGAACCGGCGAAGGGGUAGUCCGCUUUGGGUUCCGUUGCUGUGGCUUGGCUGUUGGCUUGCGACCCUGGCCGCGCGCGCUGGUCGCGCGUCCCCGGAGACACGCGGGCGUCGCGCGCGCGUGCGUUGGUUGCUUCGGAGGCUAUUACUUGCCUUCGUCGUCUGCUUGGCGUUCCUCUUUCGGUGUCGACCACGGCUGGAAGCGCGAUACGCGUUCGAAGAAGUGACGGAUAAUGAGUUGCACCGCCCUUGCUGGCUUUCUAAGUAAACCUUUUGCAGGCUACGCUAUCAAAUGUAGGGGACUCAGGUGCAAGCGUACGAGUGGCCAUUCCACGCAGAGGAAGGAAUAUUGCGCGCUGCGGUUCAUCGCCACUGGCCUGCAGCUCCCAGAGGUCGGUCGGACGUGAAGCAUUCAUCGGAAUGACCUAGAUCUCUGCUGCCGACACCGUCCACAAAGUUGCUCUCGCAAUUACUGUGUUGGCCGGUUGAAGGGCUGGCUCAGCUUUCCCGUGACCUCAGCUUCAAAGCCAAUGCCAAGGAGAUAUUUGCAUGGUGAGAUCGAAUUCUCAGUGCUAUCGCCAGCGUGAAUAGCUUGUAGAUCGCCGUUCAGCAGUCAGAAGGGUUCAGCCUAGGCUGGUUCAGCACUUCCAUCGUUCGGCUGAUAAAACUAUACAGUCAGGACGGGAAGAUAUUGUGGAGAUCUCUUAUUUGGCUGCCUUUUUUUCUCUGGUUCGGGAGUGCCGCACUUUGUUACUCAAUUUUACGGCACAGCGAGCACCGUCAGCACCACACUAUUCGAUUUGACUUCGCGCAGGCAAUGCAGGGCCCGUGUAUCGUAAUGUUCGAUUUCAAGUUCCAUUGCUUUUAUCACGCGACGCGCCGUGGGGCUUAUCGCAGGGACAGCGGCAGCGCGGCGGCGAGCGAGUCAUGUCCGAGCCGAUGACGAAGGGCGAAAAAAGAUGGAAAAUUGAUAUAGUCGGCUAGUAAAGGUGUCCCUAAGAACCAGUUCACCGUUUUGUCGCGCUCGCUACUUGAGAAGUGCCGGCAGUGCGUUCCUGUUGCGUGCAUCCUGCGAGCUCCUGGUAGCAGACGACAUAGCGCUGCGCUAUGCCAACUCAUUUACGCUUGCCAUACCGCCUGUCGGCUGAGAAUAAAAAAGAAUGACAUUAAUAAAUUACUUCUGCAUUGCGUAAACGCCCGGCACCACACGUUUAUACUUCAGAACUUGGCGUAUAAUAUUAAAUUUAUAUUUUACGUUUAUUUAGCAAGCCGAAACAUUCUGCAAUUCCUCAAUUAGCUCGUCAUAUAAUGACGUACACUUCAGAGGUGGCACCCUCUCAUCUAUUGGUCGCGUCCUCCCCUUCUUCCACCGCCGGCUUGGGAGUGGCACAUCUAGUGACGUAAGCGGCGAAGCGAACGGUUCGUAUUCCGAACCGGUAUAAGAUUCGGCCCCAGCGCUCCGAUGCCGACACCCAUAGAGUUUCUCAAAAUACCCUAGAGGGAAAUGUGGCGCUAGUGUCUACGGCGGUUCUCAUGAGCGUCGCCUCAACCUACAUGGGAAUGACGGGAAGUACAGGCUUCGGAUCGACUUCGGUCUUUAGACUAGUGGCGUUUGCUUCUGGCGCAGUAAACAAUGCUAUACUCAAAUAUUAUCGCGUAAAAUUGAAUUCAAUUUCCGCAGUAUGUUAUACAAUGCACAACACGCUACAUAAACUUUGCAUGACUUUGAGAUGGAAGCAUGGUUUACUAUCGUUUGUCAGCAGGACACACCAGGGUAUGCAUACUUGUGUGAUUCUGUUCCCAAUUUAACGCCAAAGAAUAGUUAUUUAUUCAUUUUUGCAACAGCAAAACAACCGUGCAUGUACUUAUAUAAAAAUACUCAUCAAGUACUUCUGGAAAUAAAAAUGUUGUAUUGUGACAAAGCGUUGCGCCCUUGAGAGGAAUGCUACAAGUGUCGUCUGCUACGACGCCUGCUCGCUGCAAACGCAAGACUUUUCUCGCAGACGACAGGCACUUGCGAACUCUCUCGCUCUUGCGAAAGGUUGCGUCGGCUGUCACAAUUGCUGAACGUCUUCAAGUACUUUUAAGCACAUCUGCUGCAGUGCUAGCUAGGACGCUAGUGGCCUCCUACGAGUAUGCUCCAUCAUAUUUUAUAUUGGCGUACCGCUUCCGAAGCGUUACAGCAUGGCUUUGCGGGUACCCAUUGUGCGACACUAGACUACAGCUAGGAAACAGCUAUCUUUCCUACCACAAGUAAGUUUGUGUUCUCUAAGUCCUAAAACACGCAUUUCAAUGAGCACAUAAACGAGCACAUAAUGAAGCCCUCAAUAAAAUUUGAUUGUCAAGCCACUACAAGUACAAUUGUAUAUGUCUUGUAUCAGUAGUGCCUUCUUUGUUCUAUUCUGAAGUUUCAUAAAGCACGUAACGCUACAGUGCCAACCUAACACACUUAACAAACAAAGGUCUAAACGCUCAAAACAUGUUCUUUCAACGUUUACGAUGCCGCCGCUUUCUCGUCACGGCUUCGACGCCACACCGCGACACAAGCAUCGUCCCAGUCGCUGGCCCAGCGCGCUAUCGCCACUCCGAGCAACAUAACAAACGCAGAGAGCUUUGCGUUGCACUGUCCAGCUGCAGGUUAUAGCAAUUGCGCUUGGAGCGAAACCGAAACUUUUAAAAAAAUACUUGUACACUAGUUCGCCAGUCAACAGAAUGCCAAUCCGAAGCCUGUACUUCCCAUCAUUCCCAUGUAGGUUGAACGAUCGCAGCGCCAGAUUUGCCUCUAGGUAUACUAAUAUGAAACUCUAUGCCGACACCUCAAUGACCUCCCCAUAGAGUUAGUAGAACAACUCUAGAGGAAAAGCUGGGCCGGAAAAGUGGGAACCUCUAGGGCGCCGCCCUGUUGCUACUGGUCAAUGUGGCCAGCGCAAUUACUAUUGAAAGAGCUGAGAACAAGUACAGGUCACCUUAUGCUUUGUCACCUAAAAACGCAUACCUGAUGGCUUUAUGAAGGUGGUACGUUAAUAUUAAGUUUACAGAAAGCGAUCGCUAAGUCCGUGACUUAUGUAAAUCACGAUGUACGCAUUCAUGCAAUAAAGGAUGACGCGAAUUUCGGUUUCGAAUCUGUUUUUUGGAUGCGUAGUAGUUUCGUUUGACAUGCGAUCGCGCGUCGACAUCGGACGCUAUGACACACUCGUGCCUUAUGUGCCACCGAAGCCCCGAAGUGGUCUGGCAUAUACCUUCACAUGUAAGUAAACGAAUUUAUCUCCUUGUUGAGAAUAUCACGCGAGUAGGCAGCUCUUGUGGUACAUCACAAUCGUUUGAGAAGCGUCACAGUAGAGCAUUUUUCUGCAUGCGGAGCGGUGUUUUUAUUUGCAGGUUUCCCUUCAGUAGGAAAUUGCUGGACAGGCGGACCAGCGCACCGGAAUUGUACUGGCGAAGCCACAAGCAACUCAAAGAAUCUGUUUAAUUGUUGCACUUUGAACAAUCAUGCUUCUACAAAGGCCACAGCAGAAAAACAGCCUGAUGACCGAGUAUUUCUGUGCCACGAAGUAAUCAAGAGGCGAGUGCCUAAUGCGGACGAAAUAGAGUGCAUCGAGACUUAGAACGACAGAAAGCUGAGCUAGUUCGUAAGGAUUCAUUAUGCAAAACAGAGGUGAGGCGUGCAGACAGGACACAAGAGUAGAGAAGUGGGCGGCGCGCGUGUUGUUUGCUUGUAAAUACUCUACUCUUGUUUCCUGUCUGCACGCCUCACCUCCGUUUUGCAUAACGAGUGCAUCAAGCCACAUAUUAAUAGCUUAGGCGUUUUAUUAACUGUGCAAUAUUUUCAACACUUCCUUGCAUGCCAUUUCAUGUGGCAUAUCUUUUCUGGUCACAAAUUUGUGCAGCGAAUCUAUUUGCAUGAUCGACUUCGGGCCUGUGGGACCGUUCACUUGCACUUGAUGCUGAGUCUUUUACAUGUACCCAUAAACUGCAGAUAUGCACAUCAGAUCCCUGCGAGCACUUUCAAAAUUCAAUUAUUUUCGACAACAGGCACAUAUGCAAUACUGACAUAAUCCGGAAUACCACUAAGCAGCUGGGACACAUUUUUGUUGACCAUACUCGCAGGUAAAAUAAGUACAUCAUGUGGACAGCUCCAGCUCAUUUUCCUUAAGUCAGUGUGUACAAGGGUUAUGCAAAAAUAAUUUUUUUCUCGCGCACCGAUUAUUUUGCUUUAUAAGCAAGAGAACCCACCACGUUAGUGUAACGUAUCUUGUGCAUCACACUAAUAUGUGCUUUCAUUUACCAAGUGAGAUGAGUUACUUUUAUGGCUCAUUCAGUCAUAUCACACUGCAAGCUGCAUUCAUCAAUCUUCAAUGGGAUUUUGCAAAUGUUUAAUGAAACAUGUUUCCCUUUUAUGCAGAUAUGCAAUGGCAAGCCCUUCCGUGUGUUCCAAAGACAAUGCCUACGCCUAGCCACAGCAGCUCCCUCAUACAGACUCCGCAAACCAAGAGGCCGUGGAGGCAAAUGCAGGUAAGAGGCAAUAAGCAAUAGCACUGGUAUCGACAUUCAUCUAAUUUCUUUUUAUUUCGUUUAGGCAGCCAGCACACCUCGAACAGCCACCUUGACUGCGGGUGUGUCACCCUAGUCGCCAAGGAAACAUUUGAGGGAAAGUGACAGGCAAUGUGAACAGCCACUCCUCCAUGUAAACAAUACUCUUUCUCUCGGAUGACUCCUACGCCUCACCACGCCAGCACACUUGUGCACAAAGAUGCCGCAGAGGCACGUGCAGGUCAGAGGCAAGAAGCAGUGGCACUGGUGUCGACAUUUACCCAAUUUCUUUUUCUUACACUGAGGCAGCCAGCACACCUCGAACAGCCACCUCGACUGCGGGUGUGUUAGUUGAUCCCUGUUGUACAUAUGCUCAUAAUAAACUUCAGUAAACUUGAACUUCAUAAUAAACUUGAAGGCAAAUGGUA